UACGGGGGGAGCAAGCGUUGUUCGGAUUUACUGGGCGUAAAGGGCGCGUAGGCGGCCACCGCAAGUCGAUUGUGAAAUCUCCGGGCUUAACCCGGAAAGGUCAACCGAUACUGCGGGGCUAGAGUGCAGAAGGGGCAACUGGAAUUCCCGGUGUAGCGGUGGAAUGCGUAGAGAUCGGGAAGAACACCAGUGGCGAAGGCGGUCUGCUGGGCCGUUGCUGACGCUGAGGCGCGACAGCGUGGGGAGCGAACAGG
rnacentral:rRNA from 1 species